UGAUUUCUCUCCUCUUCGCUGCCUCAUCUCUCCCCCUAGUUCAGCCCCAAGUUCUCUGUCUUUCAACAAUUCCACGAAACCCUCAGCCCCCUAAUUUUUCUUCAACAAAAUUCCGCGAAUGCAAAAUUCACCCAACUACAAAACGAAAUCAAGAGCACAAAGUAGAAACAACCACAUUAAAUUAUACAUAUCAAAUACAUACAAUAAACCCUAGAACGCAGACAUACUCAGCAAAUUUCAGCGAGAUGCGAGAGGGCAGAGGUGAGAUUUACAAAGGGGGAAGGGGAGAGACGAUUUACAGAGGGGGAAGAGGGAGGCGACGCCGGCAGAAUAGAGGUGAAGGGAGCGCGCGGCGCCGGUGGAGCGAAGAGGGAGGAGACGCCGGUAGAACAGAGGUGAAGGGAGAGGCGUCACUUGUGAAGUUAUAGAGGGGGAAGAGGAGAGCGGAUUUACAGAGGGGGGGAAGAGGGAGGCGACGCCGGCAGAAUAGAGGUGAAGGGAGCGCGUGGCGCCGGUGGAGCGAAUUCAGAGAGGGGGAAGAAGG
rnacentral:lncRNA from 1 species